CGUGGGUAACCUGCCCAAGAGAUCGGGAUAACACCUGGAAACAGAUGCUAAUACCGGAUAACAACAGAUGAUGCCUAUCAACUGUUUAAAAGAUGGUUCUGCUAUCACUCUUGGAUGGACCUGCGGUGCAUUAGCUAGUUGGUAGGGUAACGGCCUACCAAGGCGAUGAUGCAUAGCCGAGUUGAGAGACUGAUCGGCCACAUUGGGACUGAGACACGGCCCAAACUCCUACGGGAGGCAGCGCG
rnacentral:rRNA from 1 species